UCGUUGCUCAUAAGCUGUGAACCGCGUGAACCCACGUUGUACCGCAUCGGCUCGCCCCCGUAUGACAGAUUUUAUUGGCCGCACUGUUAUUUUCGAUUUUGCUUUGCGCUGAUUUGCGCGCGCAAAACGAGUUUGUUUAUGUUUUUAUUUUGGCAAAUCUGUUGACGGGUGGAUUUUUUGUUGCCAACUUCUGCUUAUAAUUUCGUAAAAUUAAUUAUCAGCAUCACGCCUUCAAGCAAUCGUUUUGAAACCGGUGCAGGUUGUUGGAGUUGGAGUGCACCAGGAGACAUGACUGUGUCAGUCAGUCAGGUUCGCGCAUUUUUAUCCAGCAGGGUGCAACGGAAGUUUAUUUAUGUUUGUUUAUGUUUUUAUUUUGGCAAAUCUGUUGACGGGUGGAUUUUUUGUUGCCAACUUCUGCUUAUAAUUUCGUAAAAUUAAUUAUCAGCAUCACGCCUUCAAGCAAUCGUUUUGAAACCGGUGCAGGUUGUUGGAGUUGGAGUGCACCAGGAGACAUGACUGUGUCAGUCAGUCAGGUUCGCGCAUUUUCAUCCAGCAGGGUGCAACGGAAGUGCCCAACAUAAAGAAAGUUACGUCGCUGGAGUGAAAGAGUUCACCAUUUCGUCAGGCUGUUAAAAAAGCAAAGCAAAGUAAUCCACUUUAACGACCCCCGGGUCUUUUGUGGUCUCUGUUGCAAGUUUCUGCUCAUUUCUAGGCGUCCGAAGGUUAUGUGUGGUGAGUCACUCAUAACCUCUUUUACGCAAAUGGACCGACGUUUUACUUCCCCAUCCGAUAGAAGGCGUGGUCAGGCAAAUCUCGUCUCGAAAAAUGCCACCGGGUCCGUCUGGGAUUGAACCCAGGCCAUACUGGGAUUCAGAGGCUACCACGCUAACCACUAAACCACCGGACCCGGCUGUUAUCAUCCACAAAAAUCAAGUGUAAAAUAGCUAUCACAAGAGGCGGGCAAAAGGCCGCCGUCCGCAAGAAAAGGAAGUACAAGUUGGUACGCCCGGCCGCCAAAUCCAAGAUCCAUUUUGUGCGAACCGCUGUGGAAACAGGAAGGUCUGUGCGCACCGUCUGGACGCCAGCAACUUUGCCUGGGCUUCGGAGGGAUGCACGCUAGGCACGUCGUGGUCGAUGCCGCGCCGUUUCAUCAGUGGUACGAGAACCACUACCUGCAGCCGCUGGACAAGAAACGUGACCUGAAGUCCAGCUAGGAGGAUGUGUUAGCCAAAAGGACAGCAAGCAUCUGCUUAAGAAGUACGCUAAGCGUCAGAAGACUAACAAGAUCGAUUUCGCCCAGGAGUAGUAGUUCAACGCUAGACGUCUGCUGGCCGUCAUCACUUCCCGACCUGGACAGAUUGGCCGUGCCGAUGGUCCUGAUGCUGUUCUGAGCUGCGCGGGCGAUGGAUCAGCGAAGAGAAGCGGAAGGAGGACAUCUUGUGUACACGAGGAGCAGGUUCGGGAACUCCGAUCGCUACAAUCUUUGGGAAAAGCAAGUCAAACCAAAAGUAUUUGUGAACCAAAAUGUGAAGAAUCUCUAUGGUCGAAUAAAUUGAGUUAGAAUGCAAUCAAAUACUAUGCAAUACUUUUAAAUUCAGGCACAGUUCUGAAAGAAAUCCAUUCAAUAGAUGAUGUGUUAAAAUGUAUGAAAUAAAAUUUGAAAAUAAUUCGUUAUUUUAUUACAAAAGUGAGCCAGCUCGCUCGCACGCGAAUCGAGGUUUCCACCUCCAGUAAUAUUUAGUCGUGACUUGUCGAAGACCAACUCGCUCGUCUAGAUGUUGAUGGCUUUGGAGACGAUUAAGAAAAAUUUCUUGAUCGGAAUCGCCGGGGGUCAUUCUUUCUUCUUCUUUCGCUCAUCUCCGGGUAUGCGCUGAUUUAUUUCGCCAGAUUCCUCGCAAUUGGCCCUUUUUGGCGCUUAUUCCGCCAGCCUGUCUAGAUCUGUCCGAGUCGGAUAGGGUUUGCGUCUGUAUAAUUAACCCCGGCACAUAUCGGUUCAAUUAUGUUCGAUUUAACUGACAGGUCCGGUACGGUACCGGUAGUUAUCACCGUUAUCACGCUUACCGCCAUCGCGGUCAGUCUCGACUUGAUUCCUUUUGCUUCCGGUGGUUGGAUGUCCUAGGAGACGUUACAUGACAUGAUCCGGCAACUGCUGAUCAAUCCGAAACCGAUGCCGUAAGUGGCCAAUCGUUCCAUCAGUGACUUGAGGUGAAAAUGAACGGAAAUUGUUGAUCGUGGCCACCGGCCACGAAUAAAACGCACGACGUAAACGAUUAAAACUAUUUAUUUACACAGGUCGGGAGAAGACAUUCUCCACGACCACACAGAACAAGAUCUGGACGAACAAGAACGAAUCACAAUAUGAAUAACGAUAACAACAGAUUAAAAACAGUUGAGACUGUUGUUGACAUCUCCGGAUGACAACUGAGUUGUCACCGGAGAGCCCAGUGCAAAUACUCUGGCUGGCAUGGCAGUGUUGCCAGAGUACUGUUCCAGUUAUCUCAACAUCUCCCCCUUUUAAUGUUGUGGGUUGAGUCACUCGAGCGGUCUUCGGGAACAGGAAGAUCGUCAGUGCUGCUGCACCUCACGGAUGCCGGAAGAUGUGGUUGAAGAUGACGACGAUCAGAUCCGGAUCAUGGACCGGACCGGCAGGACCCACAGCGACGAACCUUGGUGGAUGUCACUUGGCUGCGCUGAACACGACGUCAUCAAUUCGUUGGUAGUACGGCCGCAACACGACAACGUCCCGGCUGAUGAACGAUGAGUCGACACCAUGUUGAACUGCAUCUGGCGGACGACUCGGAUGAAGACGUUGUUGCUGCUCGUUCACGCGACCGCACGUUGCUGACCAGCUGAAGGUGAUGCUGUGGUUGGUCAGCUUUGAAGAUUCCAGUGCGUUCUUUCUCUCCCCCUUCGAUUUUUUUAACGCUUGAGAAACGACGGGGACUUUUGGUGGCACUGGCCGCAGACGAUUGCGUCCGCCGAAGUACGAACCGGUGCGCCUUGAUGUGGACCGGGUUCGUGGUUGUGCUGUGAUGCACUGCUGUGACGUCAUCGGAUGCCGUCCGCUUCAUGACGUCAGCACACCCAAUCUUACCGUCGACGGCGAGAGCGUUGAUGGACGCCAUCGGACGAGUUGGAUGUUUGGCCGGGAUGACGAAUUCCGGCUGCGUGUCCUUCACCCUUCGUUCCGUGCAGCCUCCGCGGGUUGAACUACAAGCGGAACGGUCGACCGCGUCGGCGGGACCUUUGGAGGAGGACGAUGCUCGUGCCACUUGGUGCGCUCAACACGGCUGCUGACGACAUCGCUGCGAACUCACCGGUUGCUGCUGGAACCGCUGCUGUGGGUCGCACCUGUGCGAAUGUUGUUGUUGGAGCCGCUGAUGGAGUCUGCUGGUCACGAGUUGCUGCUGGAGAAGUUGCUGGUGGAUUGGCAGGAUGAAGUCCGUCGGCAGCUUCUGCUGCUGCGCCGUUUUGACAACUUGGCAGCAUCCACGACGAACACGAUGGCUGCCUCCUCCAUCGCACUUUUCUUCCCCCGCGUGGGAAGCAAGUUUGUCCGGUGAUCUUCCGCUCAAACCGGGUCAAACUCGCGAAGAACACCUCGUCGCCACUGUUACGACGUGCCCCGUGGAGUUGAUCGUGGCCACCGGCCACGAAUAAAACACACGACGUAAACGAUUAAAACUAUUUAUUUACACAGGUCGGGAGAAGACAUUCUCCACGACCACACAGAACAAGAUCUGGACGAACAAGAACGAAUCACAAUAUGAAUAACGAUAACAACAGAUUAAAAACAGUUGAGACUGUUGUUGACAUCUCCGGAUGACAACUGAGUUGUCACCGAAGAGCCCAGUGCAAUUACUCUGGCUGGCAUGGCAGUGUUGCCAGAGUACUGUUCCAGUUAUCUCAACAGAAAUUAAAUGUAAAUUGUGAAGAAAACUUCAUGGCCAUAACCCGGACCAUACCGGACGGCGGCUAAUGGUACGUUCGUUUGAGGGCUAGUUCCGCACUGAGUGCCGCACUCAGAGCUGUCAAAGUGUUUGUUUGAAGAAACUAGCGCUGGUGCCGCACGAGUUUUGCCGCCAUCUUGGAACUGAAAGUGCGAGUGCCGCACUCGAUUAUUUUCUAGUUUCGUGCGAGUUUCUCGCACACCAACAAACGAUGUUUGUAAACAUCGAAAUCAGCUGUUCGUUCAAAACAUGAUACGAGAAGCAGAUUUUGUUUUUGUUUUCGAUUUAUUCGCGUGUAAAUGGUGGACAAAUUGGAAAAUAACUGUAUUUGGGUGGCCGAGCUCUCUGUACGAAGCAGAAUCCCAUAGAACGAAGGAGUACAAGCGAGUACGUUUCGAGGAAGGAUUCUAUCCAGAUGGACGAUAACCGAUCAAGUCGCAAGGAGGGCAACUACCAUCGCGAUCGCUGUUUCGGUCGUUCCUUCCCGCAGCUUGCAGGACUAAACUACGAACUGCAACCUGGUGGUGAACGUGCUGCCGAACGAGAGCAUGUUGUUGCUGAACGAGACCCAAAACCUGCAGAGAUUGCCGCUAUCUGAUGUUGGUACUAACCUGGCAAGCUCCGAUCUGGAAACUGUUGGCGAACAUGCUGCCGAUCUGGCCUAGUGCGAAAUCGCGAGCUCCAGGCACCGGGUGCGAUCGCCAUGCGGCGCGCCAGGUUCCUGAUCAAAGGAUAAUCACGAACAUUCGCGGCGAUUCUAACGAAUCAGUGAAUCAAUAACACCAGAGAAACUUUUUGUGUAUUUUGUUAACCAGCCAACCUUGGUCCCGGGACAAAGCAGUAGGAUAAACGGAAUGAAUUUGUCUUAACUCAAUUGAGCAAAGUGUCUAUAAUUUUAAAAUUCAGGCAAAAAUGCCAAGCAUUACUGAAAUUCCAAAAAAAAACAAUAUUUUAAUAAACAAAAUUCUAAAACUACAAUUUAAAAUAAUUAAG